CCUUCUCCUAGAAGUUUGCAGGUAUGGCUUCUGUGUCACAUGUGUGCCAAUAGGUGAGAGAGAGAGAGGAGAGAGGUUAUGCUACACUCUGUGUUCUGGCUUAAGAACAUCUGAAUAAUUAAUAACCUAAUGUU
ensembl:snoRNA